ensembl:lncRNA
AGCUGGGACUGGGCUACUCAUAAUGAACCACGUUUUCCUCCUUGGUAAGUAUCUUAUUGUGAUAAGUGCAUCUUUUGCAGCAUUUUUCAUGUCUGGGUGAUGAAAUCCAGAAAUCCAGCCUUCAGCUCUAGCCACUGCUUUGCAGCACCUCACAGAGCACCAUGCUGAGUCAAAGGGAGCAGAUCCCUGCACUGGGCUCCACAGAAGCAACCUGUCACAGGCAUCCAUGAGGCUGUGUGGCAGCUAAAACCAAGUAACUUCUAUUCAGGCACAUGAUUUUUAUCUCACUGGAAGGAAGAGCUCUGACUGACAGGGUAAUUCAUCAUUCACCUGAUGCACGAAGAAGUUGCCUGAAGGAGAGAAGCCACACACAUUAUUUUCACGCCAGUGGAAUCAGGCAUGGAGAUCAAGUGAGUCUUCCAACCUUCUUCCUCCAGUUUCUAGUUCAAAACUCCUCUCAGUCAUACCACCAUCCUAGGAGAUAUUCAUGUGAAGUCUCAGCACUGGUUCACAGUACUGCUCCGUGAUCCAUAGGACUGUUUUACCUCUUGAGUCUUGCUGUUGCUCUUGCCUUACUGAGGACCACCUGUAACUUCAUUCAUUUCAGCAUUUCUGAAUGCCAGGUCCUUUCACCUUGCAGCCAGCCCUGAUCACAAUGACCAUGGCAGUACCAUCUGGCUGACCAUGAAGGACAGCAACUGUUAGUUUCUUUUCUCAUCAGGAUGUUUUCCAGCCCUACCAACCUCACUGUUGCUCUUAGUCAUGAGUACCUAUACACUUGUUUAAAUCUGGGUUUGUUUUUGGUCACAAAGAUCUUCCUCUUCUUAAUGUGAGCAGAAACACCUACAACAGUCCCCUGACUUUCCUUUUUUUCACCUAUGGGUCAUCCUUGCUCUUCCUUUGCUAACUCCUUCCUCUCUUCUGCUGAGUCUGAGCAUCCUUCUUCUUAUCAUGUGUGUUUUCAUACUCCUCCCUUUUCCCAGUGAAGCAAACCUGUGUCUCUUUUUGCUUAUUAGCUGAUCUUUUUAUCUCUUUCUUCUUCC